GACGAACGCUGGCGGCGUGCCUAAUACAUGCAAGUUGAGCGCUGAAGGUUGGUACUUGUACCAACUGGAUGAGCAGCGAACGGGUGAGUAACGCGUGGGGAAUCUGCCUUUGAGCGGGGGACAACAUUUGGAAACGAAUGCUAAUACCGCAUAAAAACUUUAAACACAAGUUUUAAGUUUGAAAGAUGCAAUUGCAUCACUCAAAGAUGAUCCCGCGUUGUAUUAGCUAGUUGGUGAGGUAAAGGCUCACCAAGGCGAUGAUACAUAGCCGACCUGAGAGGGCGAUCGGCCACAUUGGGACUGAGACACGGCCCAUACUCCUACGGGAGGCAGCAGUAGGGAAUCUUCGGCAAUGGACGAAAGUCUGACCGAGCAACGCCGCGUGAGUGAAGAAGGUUUUCGGAUCGUAAAACUCUGUUGGUAGAGAAGAACGUUGGUGAGAGUGGAAAGCUCAUCAAGUGACGGUAACUACCCAGAAAGGGACGGCUAACUACGUG
rnacentral:rRNA from 1 species